rnacentral:rRNA from 1 species
UACAGAGGUCUCAAGCGUUGUUCGGAUUCAUUGGGCGUAAAGGGUGUGUAGGUGGCGCCGUAAGUCGGGUGUGAAAUUUCGGAGCUUAACUCCGAGACUGCAUUCGAUACUGGCGUGCUUGAGGACUGGAGAGGAGACUGGAAUUCAUGGUGUAGCAGUGAAAUGCGUAGAGAUCAUGAGGAAGACCAGUGGCGAAGGCGGGUCUCUGGACAGUUCCUGACACUGAGACACGAAGGCCAGGGGAGCAAACGGG